rnacentral:rRNA from 2 species
UGAUUGGUGCUUGCAUCAUGAUUUACAUUUGCCUGAGUGGCGAACUGGUGAGUAACACGUGGGAAACCUGCCCAGAAGCGGGGGAUAACACCUGGAAACAGAUGCUAAUACCGCAUAACAACUUGGACCGCAUGGUCCGAGUUUGAAAGAUGGCUUCGGCUAUCACUUUUGGAUGGUCCCGCGGCGUAUUAGCUAGAUGGUGGGGUAACGGCUCACCAUGGCAAUGAUACGUAGCCGACCUGAGAGGGUAAUCGGCCACAUUGGGACUGAGACACGGCCCAAACUCCUACGGGAGGCAGCAGUAGGGAAUCUUCCACAAUGGACGAAAGUCUGAUGGAGCAACGCCGCGUGAGUGAAGAAGGGUUUCGGCUCGUAAAACUCUGUUGUUAAAGAAGAACAUAUCUGAGAGUAACUGUUCAGGUAUUGACGGUAUUUAACCAGAAAGCCACGGCUAACUACGUGCCAGCAGCCGCGGUAAUACGUAGGUGGCAAGCGUUGUCCGGAUUUAUUGGGCGUAAAGCGAGCGCAGGCGGUUUUUUAAGUCUGAUGUGAAAGCCUUCGGCUCAACCGAAGAAGUGCAUCGGAAACUGGGAAACUUGAGUGCAGAAGAGGACAGUGGAACUCCAUGUGUAGCGGUGAAAUGCGUAGAUAUAUGGAAGAACACCAGUGGCGAAGGCGGCUGUCUGGUCUGUAACUGACGCUGAGGCUCGAAAGUAUGGGUAGCAAACAGGAUUAGAUACCCUGGUAGUCCAUACCGUAAACGAUGAAUGCUAAGUGUUGGAGGGUUUCCGCCCUUCAGUGCUGCAGCUAACGCAUUAAGCAUUCCGCCUGGGGAGUACGGCCGCAAGGCUGAAACUCAAAGGAAUUGACGGGGGGCCCGCACAAGCGGUGGAGCAUGUGGUUUAAUUCGAAGCUACGCGAAGAACCUUACCAGGUCUUGACAUACUAUGCAAAUCUAAGAGAUUAGACGUUCCCUUCGGGGACAUGGAUACAGGUGGUGCAUGGUUGUCGUCAGCUCGUGUCGUGAGAUGUUGGGUUAAGUCCCGCAACGAGCGCAACCCUUAUUAUCAGUUGCCAGCAUUAAGUUGGGCACUCUGGUGAGACUGCCGGUGACAAACCGGAGGAAGGUGGGGAUGACGUCAAAUCAUCAUGCCCCUUAUGACCUGGGCUACACACGUGCUACAAUGGAUGGUACAACGAGUUGCGAACUCGCGAGAGUAAGCUAAUCUCUUAAAGCCAUUCUCAGUUCGGAUUGUAGGCUGCAACUCGCCUACAUGAAGUCGGAAUCGCUAGUAAUCGCGGAUCAGCAUGCCGCGGUGAAUACGUUCCCGGGCCUUGUACACACCGCCCGU